GAUGAACGCUAGCUACAGGCUUAACACAUGCAAGUCGCGGGGCAGCAUGGGGGUUGCUUGCAAUCCCCGAUGGCGACCGGCGCACGGGUGAGUAACGCGUAUCCAACCUGCCCUUCACCACGGGAUAACCCGGCGAAAGUCGGACUAAUACCGUAUGUUGUCCAUUGACGGCAUCCGAUUUGGACGAAAGGCUUGGCGGUGAGGGAUGGGGAUGCGUCCGAUUAGCCAGACGGCGGGGUAACGGCCCACCGUGGCUACGAUCGGUAGGGGUUCUGAGAGGAAGGUCCCCCACACUGGAACUGAGACACGGUCCAGACUCCUACGGGAGGCAGCAGUGAGGAAUAGUGGUCAAUGGGCGUAAGCCUGAACCAGCCAAGUAGCGUGCAGGAUGACGGCCCUAUGGGUUGUAAACUGCUUUUAUGCGGGGAUAAAGUGGCCCACGUGUGGGCUUUUGCAGGUACCGCAUGAAUAAGGACCGGCUAAUUCCGUG
rnacentral:rRNA from 1 species